GUCAGGAUAGCUCAGCU
rnacentral:tRNA from 1 species